rfam:Daphnia pulex DAPPTscaffold_413_Cont9419, whole genome shotgun sequence.
GCCUCUGUGGCGCAAUUGGCUAGCGCGUUCGGCUGUUAACCGGAAGGCUGGUGGUUCGAUCCCACCCAGGGGCG